rnacentral:rRNA from 1 species
UACGAAGGGGGCUAGCGCUGUUCGGAUUUACUGGGCGUAAAGCGCACGUAGGCGGAUCGAUCAGUCAGGGGUGAAAUCCCAGGGCUCAACCCUGGAACUGCCUUUGAUACUGUCGAUCUGGAGUAUGGAAGAGGUGAGUGGAAUUCCGAGUGUAGAGGUGAAAUUCGUAGAUAUUCGGAGGAACACCAGUGGCGAAGGCGGCUCACUGGUCCAUUACUGACGCUGGGGUGCGAAAGCGUGGGGAGCAAACAGG